AUUGAACGCUGGCGGCAGGCCUAACACAUGCAAGUCGAACGAGUGGCGGACGGGUGAGUAAUGUCUGGGAAACUGCCCGAUGGAGGGGGAUAACUACUGGAAACGGUAGCUAAUACCGCAUACUAUCGGAUGUGCCCAGAUGGGAUUAGCUAGUAGGUGGGGUAAAGGCUCACCUAGGCGACGAUCCCUAGCUGGUUUGAGAGGAUGACCAGCCACACUGGAACUGAGACACGGCCCGGACUCCUAGGGGAGGCAGCAGUGGGGAAUUUUGGACAAUGGGGGAAAGCCUGAUGCAGCCAUGCCGCGUGUAUGAAGAAGGCCUUCGGGUUGUAAAGUACUUUCAGCAGGGAGGCGUUACCCGCAGAAGAAGCACCGGCUAACUCCGUGCCAGCAGCCGCGGUAAUAC
rnacentral:rRNA from 1 species